UGCAUAAAAUGCCAUGCCAACCUAAUUUACAUUUGUUCUUAACACAACGCUAGUAUUUAUAAUGCUAGGUUGACUGCCACAGUAACUGUUGUCAUAUUUAUCAUGAUGUAGGUUACUACUGCUGUUAGUUUCUGUACCUGUUAUCAUUAAUUUAACUUGUAUAAAUUUUAACUUGAAGUGUUUAUAGUUGUAGAAUAUAAUUGUGAUUGAGUGGCAUAUAAAAAAAAUCAAGUGGACGACAUCAUUACAUCAUUAGAGGGCUGCAGGGAAAUAGGAAAACCUUAAUACUGCGGAUAUGGUAAUACCGCGGUUAUAGCAGUGAAAUUGCUCGUAUAUGCAUAUAAUUAUAUCUGCUAUGUCAAUUAAAAGUCAUUUUGUUCUGUUGAA